rnacentral:misc_RNA from 1 species
CCCCUAAACCCCACCACCACUACGGCUCUUUCCACACUCCGAACCCUUACCCCGCUGAAAUCCACCUCCUCCGCCUCCGAUCUCUCCCCUAUUAACACUACCUCCGCUGACGAUUCCAUCUCUGUCGGCACCUCCUCUCUCAAAUCCUUAAAAUCUCGUCUCCGGAAUGGCGACACUCUCUAUGGCCUCUUCCUCCUUAGUU